rnacentral:rRNA from 1 species
UUGAACGCUGGCGGCAUGCCUUACACAUGCAAGUCGAACGGUAACAGCUCUUCGGAGGCUGACGAGUGGCGAACGGGUGAGUAAUACAUCGGAACGUGCCCGAUCGUGGGGGAUAACGGAGCGAAAGCUUUGCUAAUACCGCAUACGAUCUACGGAUGAAAGCAGGGGACCCUCGGGCCUUGCGCGAACGGAGCGGCCGAUGGCAGAUUAGGUAGUUGGUGGGAUAAAAGCUUACCAAGCCGACGAUCUGUAGCUGGUCUGAGAGGACGACCAGCCACACUGGGACUGAGACACGGCCCAGACUCCUACGGGAGGCAGCAGUGGGGAAUUUUGGACAAUGGGGGCAACCCUGAUCCAGCCAUUCCGCGUGAGUGAAGAAGGCCUUCGGGUUGUAAAGCUCUUUCAGCAGGAACGAAACGGUGGCCAUUAAUACUGGCUACUAAUGACGGUACCUGAAGAAGAAGCACCGGCUAACUACGU